rnacentral:rRNA from 1 species
UAAGGAAUAUUGGUCAAUGGAGGCAACUCUGAACCAGCCAUGCCGCGUGAAGGAUUAAGGCCCUCUGGGUUGUAAACUUCUUUUAUAUGGGAAGAAAUGUACUUUUUCUAAAGUGCUUGACGGUACCAUAGGAAUAAGCACCGGCUAACUCCGUGCCAGCAGCCGCGGUAAUACGGAGGGUGCAAGCGUUAUCCGGAUUUACUGGGUUUAAAGGGUGCGUAGGCGGAUGAAUAAGUCAGUGGUGAAAUCUCCGAGCUUAACUCGGAAACUGCCGUUGAUACUAUUUGUCUUGAAUAUUGUGGAGGUAAGCGGAAUAUGUCAUGUAGCGGUGAAAUGCUUAGAUAUGACAUAGAACACCCAUUGCGAAGGCAGCUUGCUACACAAUCAUUGACGCUGAGGCACGAAAGCGUGGGGAUCAAACA